rnacentral:rRNA from 1 species
CCUACGGGUGGCAGCAGUGAGGAAUAUUGGUCAAUGGACGAGAGUCUGAACCAGCCAAGUAGCGUGAAGGAUGACUGCCCUAGGGGUUGUAAACUUCUUUUAUGAAGGAAUACAACGAGGCACGUGUGCCUUUUUGCAUGUACUUUAUGAAUAAGGAUCGGCUAACUCCGUGCCAGCAGCCGCGGUAAUACGGAGGGUCCGAGCGUUAUCCGGAUUUAUUGGGUUUAAAGGGAGCGUAGGUGGGUUGUUAAGUCAGUUGUGAAAGUUUGCGGCUCAACCGUAAAAGUGCAAUUGAUACUGGCAGUCUUGAGUACAGUUGAGGUAGGCGGAAUUCGUGGUGUAGCGGUGAAAUGCUUAGAUAUCACGAAGAACCCCGAUUGCGAAGGCAGCUUACUAGACUGUGACUGACAUUGAUGCUCGAAAGUGUGGGUAUCGAACAGGAUUAGAUACCCUUGUAGUC